rnacentral:rRNA from 1 species
UUACGGGAGGCAGCAGUGAGGAAUCUUCCACAAUGGACGAAAGUCUGAUGGAGCGACACCGCGUGAAGGAUGAAGGUUUUGUUAUUGUAAACUUCUUUUCUCAGGGACGAUAAUGACGGUACCUGAGGAAUAAGGGACGGCUAACUAUGUGCCAGCAGCCGCGGUAAUA